rnacentral:rRNA from 1 species
GUGGGGAAUAUUGCACAAUGGGGGAAACCCUGAUGCAGCGACGCCGCGUGAGCGAAGAAGUACCUCGGUAUGUAAAGCUCUAUCAGCAGGGAAGAAGAUGACGGUACCUGACCAAGAAGCUCCGGCUAAAUACGUGCCAGCAGCCGCGGUAAUACGUAUGGAGCAAGCGUUAUCCGGAUUUACUGGGUGUAAAGGGAGCGCAGGCGGCCUUGCAAGUCUGAUGUGAAAGGCCGGGGCCCAACCCCGGGACUGCAUUGGAAACUGCGAGGCUGGAGUGUCGGAGAGGCAGGCGGAAUUCCUAGUGUAGCGGUGAAAUGCGUAGAUAUUAGGAGGAACACCAGUGGCGAAGGCGGCCUGCUGGACGAUGACUGACGCUGAGGCUCGAAAGCGUGGGGAGCAAACAGG